rnacentral:lncRNA from 10 species
GCUGCUAAAUACAUUUUUGGAGAUUCACUAUUCUGUUUAGAAACGUUCCUGCUGACACCAGUGUUCUGAGGGGCCUUAUCUUCCACCCCCAAGGAGUUUAUAUGCAUCCUAAGAGAAAUUCACACAUGGGCUAUAAAGCUAAAAUUUUCACAUUAUUUUGUACAAAGUCAAAAUGACUUGAAUACUAACCACAGAAUAUUAAGUGGCUUCCACUAGAUCAGCAUUCCCAAUGUGUAUCCUGUGCCCCAAUCCUGUGAGUAAAUUUGUAGACCAAAAAAA